rnacentral:rRNA from 1 species
GUCUAUGGCCAUACCACCCUGAACACACCUGAUCUCAGAAGUUAAGCAGGGUUGAGCCUGGUUAGGACUUGAAUGGGAGACUGCCUGAAAAUAUCAGGCACUGUAGGUU